GGAGUCGGGGAGACCUGAAGCGGUAGGUUAAAGACACCGUUAGGGUAAAAUCGGCGACUGGGGCUAAGUCGUAACAAGGUAGCCGUACCGGAAGGUGCGGCUGGAACACCUCCUUUCUGGAG
rnacentral:rRNA from 1 species